CUUAUGGGGUCCUUCCUUAUGGGGUCCUUCCUUAUGGGGUCCUCCCCUCUGGGGUCCUCUCUCUGCUUAUGGGGUCCUUCCUUAUGGGGUUCUUCCUUAUGGGAUUCUCCCUUAUUGGGUCCUUCUUCUACUUACGGGGUCCUUUCUUUGCUUAUGGGGCACAACUUUUUCUUACGGGGUUCUGCCUUUUCUUACGGGGUCUGCAUUCUUAUGGGGCCCACCCUUAUGGGGUCUUCCCUUUGCUUUGGGGUCUUCUGUCUGCUUAUGGGGUUCCGCCUUUUCUUAUGGGGUCUGCCUUCUUCUUCUGGGGUCCACCCUCUUCUUCUGGGGUCCAACCUCUGCUUUGGGGUUUUGGGGUCCACCCUUUUCUUAUGGGUUUCUCCCUUUCCUUUUGGGGUCCACCACUUUCUUUUGGGGGGUCCACCCUUUUCUUAUGGUCUCAUCCCCUCCUCUUUGGGGUCCCCCCUUCC
rnacentral:lncRNA from 1 species